GAUGAACGCUGGCGGCGUGCCUAAUACAUGCAAGUCGAGCGAACGGACGAGAAGCUUGCUUCUCUGAUGUUAGCGGCGGACGGGUGAGUAACACGUGGAUAACCUACCUAUAAGACUGGGAUAACUUCGGGAAACCGGAGCUAAUACCGGAUAAUAUUUUGAACCGCAUGGUUCAAAAGUGAAAGACGGUCUUGCUGUCACUUAUCGAUGGAUCCGCGCUGCAUUAGCUAGUUGGUAAGGUAACGGCUUACCAAGGCAACGAUGCAUAGCCGACCUGAGAGGGUGAUCGGCCACGCUGGAACUGAGACACGGUCCAGACGCCUACGGGAGGCAGCAGUAGGGAAUCUUCCGCAAUGGGCGAAAGCCUGACGGAGCAACGCCGCGUGAGUGAUGAAGGUCUUCGGAUCGUAAAACUCUGUUAUUAGGGAAGAACAUAUGUGUAAGUAACUGUGCACAUCUUGACGGUACCUAAUCAGAAAGCCACGGCUAACUACGUG
rnacentral:rRNA from 1 species